CAAUAGCGUAUAUUAAAGUUGUUGCAGUUAAAAAGCUCGUAGUUGGAUUUCUGGUUGAAGCGACCGGUCGGGCGUUGAUUCGUCUGCACUGGAGUCGGUUUUGGCCAUCCUCUAGGAAAGUGCGUCUGGUAUUAAGUUAUCGGGCGUAUGAUCCUGGUCUUUUACUGUGAAAAAAUUAGAGUGUUUAAAGCAGGCCUUCGCCUUGAAUACAUUAGCAUGGAAUAAUAAGAUAGGACUUUGGUCUAUUUUGUUGGUUUGCAGACCGAAGUAAUGAUUAAUAGGGAUAGUUGGGGGUAUUUAUAUUCCGAUGUCAGAGGUGAAAUUCUUAGAUUUUCGGAAGAUAAACUUAUGCGAAAGCAUUCACCAAGGAUGUUUNCAUUA
rnacentral:rRNA from 1 species